rnacentral:rRNA from 1 species
UACGAAGGGUGCGAGCGUUGUUCGGAAUUACUGGGCGUAAAGGGUUCGUAGGCGGGAGGGUAAGUUAAGUGUGAAAUGUCUGGGCUCAACCUGGAACGUGCACUUAAAACUGCCUUUCUUGAGUACUGGAGAGGGCAGUGGAAUUGCUGGUGUAGGAGUGACAUCCGUAGAGAUCAGCAGGAACACCGGAGGCGAAGGCGACUGCCUGGCCAAGUACUGACGCUGAGGAACGAAAGCGUGGGGAGCAAACAGG